CUUCAGGUGUUGAGAGCUGGAGCUUUAGUGCUGCAAAAUGGAAAUCUCUUAUCUCAUCAGAAGACACAGAAGAAGAUGUGCUCCGUCUCAUCAGUUCCCUAAUAGCUUUCCCAGCUUCUUCUUCAGAUGAUUCUAGAGACAACACUGUUGACUUAAGAUCUUGGAGUACCUCAAGUAUCUGCAAGCAACAAUUCAUUCAGCAUUUUCCACAAAACAAGAAAAAUAAAACAGUUUGGUUACAAACCUUGAUAGACAAAGCAGUAGGAACCAUGGUUCUGAUGUCAGAUAAGCUUUGCUCUAAUAACUUUUUGGAUCUAGAACCUCUUGAGAGUAUAGCAUCUCCUGUUACUGCCUGAAGAUUGAAGCAAAACAUAUUAAUCACAUUAGGCAGUGAUAAAAAAAAAA